GACGAACGCUGGCGGCGUGCGUAACACAUGCAAGUCGAACGAAGUGGCGAAAGUGUGAGUAACGCGUAAUCAACCUGCCCUUAAGAGGGGGACAACAGGGGGCAACGACUGCUAAUACCGCAUACUGAAGGAGGGGAAUGCGUCUGAUUAGCUGGUUGGCGGGGUAACGGCCCAACACGGCGAUGAUAAGUAGCCGGUGUGAGGGGAUGAACGGCCACACUGGGACUGAGAAACGGCCCAGACUCCUACGGGAGGCAGCAGUGGGGAAUCCUCCGCAAUGGACGAAAAUCUGUCUGAGGAACGCCGCGGGAGGGAUGACGGCCUUCAGGUUGUAAAGCUCUGUUAAGCGGGACGCGGUACCGGAAUAGAAAGCCACGGCUAACUACGUGCCAGCAGCCGCGGUAAUUC
rnacentral:rRNA from 1 species